rnacentral:rRNA from 1 species
CACGUAGGGUGCGAGCGUUGUCCGGAAUUAUUGGGCGUAAAGAGCUCGUAGGCGGUGUGUCGCGUCGGCCGUGAAAACCUGCAGCUUAACUGUGGGCUUGCGGUCGAUACGGGCAUCACUGGAGUUCGGCAGGGGAGACUGGAAUUCCUGGGUGUAGCGGUGAAAUGCGCAGAUAUCAGGAGGAACACCGGUGGCGAAGGCGGGUCUCUGGGCCGUAACUGACGCUGGAGGAGCGAAAGCCAUGGGGAGCGAACAGG